UCUUCACGAAGGCUUGAUACAGUAUCGACCAUCCUCUGUGUCUGCAAGAAGAAGAAAAUUCUUGUAUCAAUUCACAAUAUGUUUACGUACAUGCCGACAAUUUUUACAUUUUUAUUUUUUUAGGUUGACAAAAAUCGGAAAGAAGACACUAUACGGACCAAACUUUAGCUCAUGCAUGCAAGAUAAUGCAAUAUGAAUUUUCACCGAACCCACGAUUCUCAAGAAGCAUAAGAUCCGUCACACUUAGUUCGUCAAGUUCCCUAUCGAUACAUAUUUUGAGUUAAUCAAUAAACGCCCGAUAAAGUUCCCAUUUAAUUUUUAGACCAGACCGUAAAAGAAAAACCGUUAGUUACCUUUCAACAUCUCGAAGUAACUCCUCACUUGUAAUAGAGUUGUUUGACUGCCCCUGAUUUUAUAUAUAUAACCAAAAUAUUAUCCCGGAUUUUAGAGUG